UACGAAGGGAGCUAGCGUUGUUCGGAAUUACUGGGCGUAAAGGGCGCGUAGGCGGCGCCAGAAGUCAGGCGUGAAAGCCCCGGGCUUAACCUGGGAAAUGCGCUUGAUACUCUGGUGCUUGAGUGUGGGAGAGGUUGGUGGAAUUCCCAGUGUAGAGGUGAAAUUCGUAGAUAUUGGGAAGAACACCGGUGGCGAAGGCGGCCAACUGGACCACAACUGACGCUGAGGCGCGAAAGCGUGGGGAGCAAACAGG
rnacentral:rRNA from 1 species